rnacentral:rRNA from 1 species
CAGUAGCCGCGGUAAUACGAAGGGUGCAAGCGUUAAUCGGAAUUACUGGGCGUAAAGCGUGCGUAGGCGGUGAGUUAAGUCUGCUGUGAAAUCCCCGGGCUCAACCCGGGAAUGGCAGUGGAUACUGGCUCGCUAGAGUGUGUCAGAGGAUGGUGGAAUUCCCGGUGUAGCGGUGAAAUGCGUAGAGAUCGGGAGGAACAUCAGUGGCGAAGGCGGCCAUCUGGGACAACACUGACGCUGAGGCACGAAAGCGUGGGGAGCAAACAGGAUUAGAUACCCCAGUAGUCCCUGUCUCUUAUAC